rnacentral:rRNA from 1 species
AAGGUGGGCACUCUAAGGAGACUUCCGGUGACAAACCGGAGGAAGGUGGGGAUGACGUCAAGUCAUCAUGGCCCUUACGGCCUGGGCUACACACGUGCUACAAUGGUCGGUACAAAGGGUUCCCAAGCCGCGAGGUGGAGCUAAUCCCAUAAAGCCGAUCGUAGUCCGGAUAGGCAGUCGCAACUCGCCUGCGUGAAGCAGGAAUCGCUAGUAAUCGUGAAUCAGAAUGUCACGGUGAAUACGUUCCCGGGCCUUGUACACACCCCCCGU